rnacentral:lncRNA from 1 species
AGGCACGAGAUCGGAGAGAGAGGAGACCGUAAACAAGCCUGGGCGAGAACUUUCAAGAGGGAUAAAGAAUAGAGUGAGGACUAAUCAGUAGACGAUAGUCUCGAAUUGUUCUGCAAGAGAGAGGCCGAAUGCGAAUGAUAAAGUGAGAAAUGAGUGAGAGAGAGAGAGAGAGAGAGAGAGAGAGAGAGAGAGAGAGAGAGAGAGAGAGAGAGGACCUAUUAGUAGUAGAGAGGACCUAUUAGUAGUAGGCUAUAGUCUCGAAUUAUUUUUGAUGGACUUAUAUCUUCAUAUGGCUGAUUGACUAGUAGCAAUAAAAUUGUUUUUAGGUGGCAAGCUAUGUCAAGCCACACAAUAUGGACCAGCGUACGGAAUGACCUCUUCUGCUCAUAUCUACUUAAAAACCAUUUUGUUAAACUGAUAAAUGUGGUUCUAACCGACUUGUGAAUCUUCCAUUAUAUUAUUUUCAAAGACAUUCUUACUCCUGUAAAUGUUAAAUUAUCCUCCUACCCUGAACAUGGAUAAAUCAUAUUGUCAAAUCCAUUGUAAGUCAGUAAUUUCCUGCACUGUGUAUAUAUGUCUUUGCUCUAAGCAGUAAAAUCGCAAGAAAACCACACUUUAUGAUGAGUUUUUCUAAUUCAGUCCACAAAGAGAAAGUCCACCUAAAAAUUGUCUACAUAUUAAAUAUGCAUAAGUACGUUGAAAGUAGCAGCUUUGCUCACUUUCAAGUUUUCCAUUGUAACCAGCACAGAAAAAUGGUACGAUUGCAAAUUUUUCAUAAUUUACGAAAGACAUUUGAAUUUUCUGUCAUUUUUCCAGGAAUUACGGAAAUUGCUAAUAAAAUGAAAAAUGGUAUUAUGGACAUCCAAAAAUUCUCUGGUUGAUCUGACCUGUUCGAAAAAAAAAUUAUUGUUGAUAAUUCUCAUCCAUAGCCUGUGAAAGGUUUUGUGCGAUUAUAGAAGGAAAUAGAUUAGCACCAUCGAUAUUUGGAAAAAUAUAGUUUUUUAAAUAUUUUCAAGAAAAAAAGAAAUAUUUUCACAAAAACUGAGUAUUUUGGAUCUUUCAUGCUUUAAGUAAUUUUGGACAAUUGCUGUACGUAUAAGGCCAAUGGACCAAAAUUGAGUCUAGAAGGGUAUUUUCGCAAUUUUCAUCAAGCAGGCUUUUUUGUCCCAAGAGCUUAGUCAACCAUUAAUGUUUUGGAAACAAUGUCAAAGAUAAGGGCCAGCAUGUGAUUCCACCAUAUUCAACCGGUCUAACCAUUCACAACGGUUUUUUUUUCUAGGUUCAAAAUAACCAAUUAGUUUAAAUGAGAAGAUUUUAAUAAGAAAAAUUAGCAAUAUAUAUGAUGAUGAUUUUGAAAAAAUCGAGGGAAUUAUACAAGAAAUAUUUUGUAUGCCUUAAAGGAUGCUAGGCGUUAGGCCAUGAGUAAUAAUCAAAUAUAUUUUUGUCCUAUCAAUUGUAAUAGAUGGGAGAAUGAAGGUCAAGCUUACCUCGAGGAGCAAUGCAGAGAUGAAAUUACUGUGAUGGGUGUUUGAGAAGAAGUCGCCUUGAAGUAGAUCAAGUUGUGUUCGAGUCUCGAAAGACAGUACAAUUCGAGGAUCACCUUCACACCUCAGCCUAGAGCUAUCAAAGCACAUAUAUCUCAGAACAAAAUGAGAGUCUCAAUGAUUUAUGGUGAUUGGUGUUUCUCCUCUUCAAGCACAA